AAUAAGAUGCCUGAAUAAAGGAUUAUUUUGAUAGAAUAAAUUAUGUAAUUAUUUUACUCUUAUUA
rnacentral:tRNA from 1 species